AACAUCUCAUUGACUGGAAGGAAUCCCUUCCGGUCAAUGGGGUAUAAUGACCUCAUUGACAGGAAGGGAUUCCUUCCGAUUGAUUGGGUUGUU
rnacentral:miRNA from 1 species